AAUUCCAGUUAGGAUUUCCACGGGGACGCAGCCAAACCAUAUCACCUUGGCUGUGGCCUCCACUGUGCCUGGGACUGGCCACAGAGAGCUGUGUCUCCGUGGCUGCCUUCUCCUUGCCUGUUUGCGUGGUCUCGAGGAAGCUGCACAGCAGGGCCCGAGUCGGCCGUGUGAGCCGCUCUCCCUGUCAAAGCACACCCAUCCCUGCCUGCUUUGACCUGAACUUGGUGACCUUCAGGCCAUCAGUGGAGUGGGGCAGAAUGAAUAGCCUGUCCUGGCUCAUGGCAGCCACCGGGUGAGGCGCCUGCAUGCGUGGCUCGGAGGCCUUCUGCAGGCACAACCCCCACCGUGGGCCUGGCAGCUUGUGUGGGAGGCGUGCGGGUCGGUGGCAGAGGGUGAGCACCAGCCCUGUGUGAACCUUCACAACUCCUCUGUGGACCCUGGACUUGGCUUCACUGCUGCGCCCGGGGGCUGGAGAAGGCCAGGCAGCAGCUGCAGGAGGAGCUCCGGCAGGUCAGCGGCCAGCUGUUGGAGGAGAGGAAGAAGCGCGAGACCCACGAGGCGCUGGCCCGGAGGCUCCAGAAACGGGUCCUGCUGCUCACCAAG
rnacentral:lncRNA from 1 species